rnacentral:lncRNA from 1 species
UCGUCUUGACGUGCCUUAUCUGUCUCAUAGGUAGAUGGGGCAUCUUCUCUGGAAGUACUCUUCCUCCAUCCAGGGGUGGUAUCUUUAACUGGUGGAGAUGCACAUGGUAAUGUAUCAAUUUCACUUGAAGCUUACUUGUAGUUUCAGGCUUGGUCAAGCGCGAUACAAACCAUGUAGUAGGAGUCCCCCAAGUCGUCGAGCUAGGGGAUCUGGACAAACUAUAUAGAAUUAUUAUCUGAUAUACUAUUGCAAAUAUGCCUCUAUAACACACAAAACAUUGAAUUCCAUUACCUUGUUGUUAUUGACCUCUUUCUCAGUCAGAAUCGCCAGAGCUUCCAAACCGUCGACUAGGACCAUGUCGCCUUCGCGCACCCGUGGGUAGAGCUGAAGAGGAGAUUCAGAAUUAUAAUACAUCAUACUGACAGAUUCUAAGACACAUUUCAUCGAACACCUAAUGUGCCACAUUCUCAUAUGCUUUCUUGUAAGAUUAAUUGAAGAACAGUAAGUGUUUGAACAAAAUUAACUUCUAGAUGAGUAAUUUAACAGAAAAGAAGCAAUAAAAGAACCCAGAAAUCUUUAAUGAAGAACAAUACUUAGUAUUUGAACAAAAUUAAUUUCUAGAUGAGUAAUUUAACAGAGAAUAAGCAAAAAGAAACCCAAAAAUCUUGAAAAAAAUUGUCAAUAAGAUUGAGCUCAAAAACUUGAAAUCUCAUUGAAACAGCUUUUCAGGUGUUUACAGCUUACAUAUGCAUGAUAACAAAAAGAAGCAUCCUUUCUUCACUAAUUGGACACUAACAGAAAAACCCUAAUUCAUAUUAUUCAGAUUACAAAUACACGAGACCAAAUAGCUAAGAAAGCUGGAAAACUUGACCCCAAUCAAACACAAAUAUUGUUCUGGUUAUACAUGCGAUACCCACCUAACAUAUCAACCAAUUCCAAAUUGAAAUGGAAAAUGAAAUGAAGCAACAUAAAUUGAAUACAAUUUGGGGAAAAUUAUCUCACCUAGAGCUCCAAAUCUCCAAGAGUUCCCGAUCCGAGUAGCCUCCGAAUUGGGUUGUUGAAGAUGGUGAUCAAGGAAUGGUUUUGGAGGUGGGUUUGAUCAGAUCAAAGGCUAAGCCAUUAGGUUUGGAGGGAAAAGAACACAGAGCUACUGCAAGAGAGAGAGAGAGAGAGAGAGAGAAAGAAAGAGAAAGAAAGAAAGAGCAUGUGUUGUCCUUUUCUUCUAUCCAGCCACUGGAUCGCAGUUCCAUCACAAAAAUUAUAUGUAUGUGUUAGUUUUUAAAGUUCUAGUUUUGCAAUCGACUUAAGAACACCAUAAUCGAAGAGUUCGAAGGGAUUUACCUUUGGAUGCUAUCGGAAUGAGUUCUUGUGUGUGGGCCUGCAACUUCGUUUGCAGGCGUGAUGUUUCCAUGAAAUUUCUCUCGGGUUUACAUAGAGAGCAAAGCGAGAGAGCUCUCCAGAUUUUGAGCAAAAUCCCCCUAAACUACGAUGUAGAUAGCUUCAGCUGGGAUACAUGUAAACAAAUUCAAAGCUCAAGACCUUAAACUGAGCUCUUGGAAAUCUCACUUCAAUUAAGCAGUUUUUCAGAUGUUUACAGCUUAAAUAUGCAUGAUAACAAAAAAGAGGCAUCCUUUCUUAACCAAUCAGACACUAACAGAAAAAACCCUAAUUCAUAUUAUUCAGAUUACAAAUACACAGGCGACCAAAUAGCUAGGACAAUUUAACCCUAAUCCAACACAAAAAUUGUUGUGGUUAUACAUGCAAUACCCGCCUAAAAUAUCAACAAUUCCAAAUUAAAAUGGAAAAUGAAAUGAAGCAACAUAGAUUGAAUACAAUUUGGGGAAAAAUUAUGUCACCUGGAGCUUUGAAUCUCCAAGAGGUCCCAAUCCGAGCAGGCUUCGAAUUGGGCCGAUGCCAUUAGGUUUAGGGGGAGAGGAACACAGAGCUAUUGUGAGAGAGAGAGAGAGCAUGCGUUGUCCCUUUCUUCUAUACAGCCACUGGACCGUAGUUCCUUCACAAAAAAAAUUAUAUGCAUGUGUUAGUUUUUCAAGUUCUAGUCUUGCAAUCGACUAAAGAACACCGUAAUCGAAGAGUUGAAAGGGGUAUCGCACUUCUGAGCUUCUUCUUCUUCUAUAACACCUUUUGGUCCUCCUCAUCGCCUAAUUCCUCAUCAUCUACACGCCAACACUACCUCUAGAAGAGCCUUACCAAUAACCAAGUUAAUAAGCAUAAGUUCAAACAUUAAACGAAUAUAAAAUGAUAUAUGUACGAAAAAAAUGUUCCAUUUUUACAUGAACAACUAAGCAAAAGUAUUAUUACAACUAAGCAUAAAUUUUGAGGACAAAUCUAAACCAGAUGCUUUCAUCAUUAACACAAAUAACCAUCUAUAUGAAUACUAAUUGCAUACUCCCUCAAGGUCCUAUGGAUAACUAUGAAUGUUUUCAAAUUCAACUGCCAAUGACAAACACAAAAAUAAUACAAAAAGUUUAACAUGAAUCAAAACAUAUGUAUUCGAAAUGGUAAGCAUAUUAAUCCAUAAGAUAUUGAUGAUUCACAUACAACCAAUAAGAAAAGUAUCAUAUAAGUGUUGAAUCGUCCCUUGUAAAUUCGAGCAACAUUGAAUGGGACCAAUAGAUGACCAUUGGUGAAAACUUCAGAAUAGUUAAAAAUAAAUACACUUAUCAGCGGCAGAGAACAUCAGUAGACCACCUCUACUUUAAACCCAACUACAAAAAGUGCACAAAAUGCAAGGAUUAACCUCUUUUAGAAAAUGAAGGAAGAAAUACUAAAGCUUAAGCCAACGAAUAUAACCGUAUUAAACUCAAAAUAUUUGACAUUAAUGACACAAAUUCAAUCCCGUAUAACCAGGCAUAAACUUUAUCCUAGAGACACAUAGUGCUACAACCAUUACAUUUGGAAAACCAGACGUCUUCUAAGUAAAGCAACAUGAUCUCCUAAUUCAACUAAAUUUUCCAAUGAACCAGAAUCAAUAACGAAGAUAAUCAAGAUGUAAACGAUGGACUAUUGAACAUAUUUUGAACACCCACUUUACAUGUGAAAACAAUCACCAUCAACCUUGUAACCUGAAUCAAGCUGGUUUCACAUAUGCCAAUAGAAAACCAAAAUAUCAGUGUUUGUGAAGUUACCUUAUGUGAAAUGUUAGAAGUAUCUGGUGUAUGUAAAUGGUAGAACUUGUAAAACCUUAGUUUCAAAUGAUGCUUUAGCUCUUUCAUUCAUUUCUUCAAUGACUUUUCUUCGGGCUUUCCUGGCAUAUAAAAUACUGAAUAGGAAAGAGAAAUAUUAAAGUUCUACCACUAAAAUACAGAGUAUACUUUUAGAUAAAUAUGAUUCAAAUACCCAAAUUUAAUUUAUGAUAUCUGACACGUCCCAACCCCGAUAUUCUGAAUACCCGGAUAGGCACGUGUUGACCGACACCUGAGGGUGACGAAAGCCAUUUAUUGAUUACAAGAGUAAUGAUUAGGAAGAACAUAAGCAUGAAUAGUCAUUAGAAUUUAAGAGUAACAAAAAAAGUUUAAGGAAAUGUCUAGAGUGCACAUAACACGAUCUAAUUCAAGAUUCACAAAAAGGAAAGAUCAUUACAGAUAUCACACAAGUGGGUGAUAGAUUGCUACUGGUAGGGGAAUGCCUUGUACGCCGUGUCAUAGUCCUCGUUUCUAAGACCUGAAUGGGGGCGCAAAACAAAGGUGAGUAAACCAAGUUUAUAUAUGCAAUAAUAAUAAAACAGUUAUCAAGAUACUAACCCCUACAGUUUAUAUAAAGAAAACUACUAGCAUAAUAGGUGAUAGGUUUAAUAAAAAUCCUAGCAUGCCAAAAAAUAUCUCAAGAGACAUAUCGUGGAACACGAAAUAUCAAACGUCUCAUAAAUCAUCUCGUAGUGCAAUGUACUACUAGUAAGAUCACUGAAUAAAUAUAUCUCCUGGUCCUAUGCCAGCACCGUGGUCUUUGUGCCCGUAGCUAGAGAUUACCAACUCCCGGCCCAAUGCCUGCUCCGUGUCCCAUAGCCCGUAGCUAGGGAUUAUUUCUCUCGGUCUAUCUGCCAACACCAGAUCCUCACCCCAGGCAGCAUAGUGUCUACUAGGUACGCACAAAUAGUUACGCCUCUCAUAAAUAACCACUUCAUAGUAUAAAGUCAUCAAUCGUCUAUACUAUAAAGAGGGGUUUCUAAAACAUGUUCUAGCAUCCUAUUGUCAUCCAUCAGAUAGUCUACCAGUUCAAGGUUUUUAUAGAAAAUACAACAUAUUAAAAUGUAGCUCAAUAUAGGCCAACAAUUAAUUCCUCACAAAAAAUGAGACGAUAAACAACAUAUUUCAUAAACUUGCUUAACAUAAAACUCAGUUCAUAAAUUUGUAAGGCAAGCAUUUAAUUUAUGCAGUUGAACUAUGAAAUUAUGCAAAUUUUAGAAAAGGUCCACUCACAGAUACUCCUUAGCAGUAGAGUUGUGCGGAUAAGGAUUACGAAUUCCCUCACUAGCAACAUCACCUAAGAACAAAAAUGUAAUAAAUAAAUAAAAGGAUUUUCUAAAGGAUUUGGGCUUGAACUAAAUAAAAUAAAGGAUUUGGGUUGGAUGGGUUAGGGUCUAAUGGGUUAAAAGGGUUUAGGGUGAAGAAGGGUGGU